UUUUUUACUUUUUCAAGUAUUUUGAUGAAAUAUUUUACAAAAUAAACUUCAAAAUCAUAACCUACAAUACUCAAUGUAUCCAAAACAAACGAAAUUGUUUUUUUCAUUUUUUGAAACUUACGCCUGAUUUGGAAGGGGAAUAAGUACCUCAAGGUCAAUUUCACGAAGGAAAUUUUGGAUGGCAUAAAAAAGGUCAUCUGCACAAGCACAAGCAACAUUGACAAGGUCCACAAAGGCUGCGACGAUAUUCUUCUCCACCCUGCUGUAAUACUGAAUGAUGACACAGAGCUGUUUGGCUGUAGAAACAUCGGUAGUCUCAUCGACGAUUAAAGAGAACUUCUUUCCUUUCACAUCAGCAAUUAAUUCUUUGUUCAGCGCAGGACUGACUACAUUGAUUCAUAUGAUGCUUUCCAUUUGACUGCCAUGUUCAAAAUAUAAUGAUGCUAUGAGCCUAUGACCGGAGCAAAGCCUGGGAAGUAGUGACAGAAUAGAACCAUUUCGUUUAUCUUUUGUGAAAGAACUGUGAAACUUAGUAGUAAUGACAUUAAAAAUCUGUGGGAAGCAAAAA